GCGCAUUAGCUAGUUGGUGAGGUAACGGCUCACCAAGGCGACGAUGCGUAGCCGGCCUGAGAGGGUGACCGGCCACACUGGGACUGAGACACGGCCCAGACUCCUACGGGAGGCAGCAGUAGGGAAUCUUCCGCAAUGGGCGAAAGCCUGACGGAGCGACGCCGCGUGAGCGAAGAAGGCCUUCGGGUCGUAAAGCUCUGUUGUGAGGGACGAAGGAGCGUCGUUCGAAGAGGGCGGCGCAGUGACGGUACCUCACGAGAAAGCCCCGGCUAACUACGUGCCAGCAGCCGCGGUAAUACGUAGGGGGCGAGCGUUGUCCGGAAUUAUUGGGCGUAAAGCGCGCGCAGGCGGUCUCUUAAGUCUGAUGUGAAAGCCCACGGCUCAACCGUGGAGGGUCAUUGGAAACUGGGGGACUUGAGGGCAGGAGAGGAGAGCGGAAUUCCACGUGUAGCGGUGAAAUG
rnacentral:rRNA from 1 species